rnacentral:rRNA from 1 species
GUGAGUAGUUCAGAGUUUGAUCCUGGCUCAGGACGAACGCUGGCGGCGUGCCUAACACAUGCAAGUCGAACGGAAGUAAGAGCUUCGGUUUUUACUUUAGUGGCGAACGGUGAGUAACGCGUGAGAAACCUGCCUUUCAGUGGGGGACAACAGUUGGAAACGACUGCUAAUACCGCAUAAUGUCAUUUGGGGGCAUCCUCGAAUGACCAAAGCUUUAUGUGCUGAAAGAUGGUCUCGCGUCUGAUUAGAUAGUUGGUGAGGUAACGGCUCACCAAGUCGACGAUCAGUAGCCGGUCUGAGAGGAUGAACGGCCACAUUGGGACUGAGAUACGGCCCAG